GAUAUCAUCAUAAGCCUCCUGCCCAAUUUAGUGGAUGCUAACUGAGAAACAAAAGUCUUGGUAUUUCAACAACUGGAAAGCCACGGUAUGAAGCUUGUUGUAGAAAUUUUCACAAUUUCCAACCUUCUCCUAUUACCUGUUGGAUUUGCAGGCUUCUUGAAAAGAAAGAUACAGAUUUUCUAUUUCACCUCUACACAAUUUUGCUGUAACCGAGUAAUAUCUCACCAGUAAUUUUAAUUAAUAGAAAGCAAACUGGGUUUUGUGGUGAUUCUAAUUCUAAUGAUUCUGACUGUUUCAAAGUUGCAUUUACUCUGUGGUGAUUCGGUGAUGGUAGGAGUCCUGUGCUACCCUGUAUGACUCUUUCGCUGGUUUUUUUGGAAUAUACGUACUUUCCAGGGUUGUGGAGAAAAAGAAUUGGUCCCAGAAGUCUCCUCUCUUUCUCAGUCAAUGCCGUGAAAUGGGGAUAAACCCCCAAGGAUUAAAGUAGGAGCAACUCCCCGCAAAGAGGGGACAUUGUUGCCGGGCCAAAGCCAGCACCUCCUAUUUAAGUUGCGUUUUCUCCACAUACCAAUGCAAAUAACAAUCCUAUAUAAGACUUUGUAAGCAGUUACUUCUCUAGCUAUGCGCUUCUUCAAUGAAUAGAAACGAUGAUGUUAUUAUUAUAAUCGGAGUUCAGCUUUUUACAGGA